rnacentral:snRNA from 14 species
GGAUGUGAGGGCGAUCUGGCUGUGACAUAUGUCACCCCAUUGAUCGCCAGGGUUGAUUCGGCUGAUCUGGCUGGCUAGGCGGGUGUCCCCUUCCUCCCUCACCGCUCCAUGUGCGUGCCUCCCGAAGCUGCACGCUCGGUCGAAGAGGACGACCUUCCCCGAUAGAGGAGGAUCGUUCUCCUGCUAGAACCUCCAAACAAAGCUCUCAAGUUCAAAAUAAGGUCCCCAGACUAACAGCAUCAAUGUCACCUGCUGAGUCCCACCCCUUAAUUUU